rnacentral:rRNA from 1 species
GAUGAACGCUGGCGGCGUGCUUAACACAUGCAAGUCGAACGGUGAACUUGGGAGCUUGCUCCCGGGGGAUCAGUGGCGAACGGGUGAGUAACACGUGAGUAACCUGCCCUUGACUCUGGGAUAAGCACUGGAAACGGUGUCUAAUACCGGAUACGAGCUUCAGCCGCAUGGCUAGGAGCUGGAAAGAAUUUCGGUCAAGGAUGGACUCGCGGCCUAUCAGGUAGUUGGUGAGGUAAAGGCUCACCAAGCCGACGACGGGUAGCCGGCCUGAGAGGGUGACCGGCCACACUGGGACUGAGACACGGCCCAGACUCCUACGGGAGGCAGCAGUGGGGAAUAUUGCACAAUGGGCGCAAGCCUGAUGCAGCAACGCCGCGUGAGGGACGACGGCCCUCGGGUUGUAAACCUCUUUUAGUAGGGAAGAAGCGAAAGUGACGGUACCUGCAGAAAAAGCACCGGCUAACUACGUGCCAGCAGCCGCGGUAAUACGUAGGGUGCAAGCGUUAUCCGGAAUUAUUGGGCGUAAAGAGCUCGUAGGCGGUUUGUCGCGUCUGCUGUGAAAACUGGAGGCUCAACCUCCAGCCUGCAGUGGGUACGGGCAGACUAGAGUGCGGUAGGGGAGAUUGGAAUUCCUGGUGUAGCGGUGGAAUGCGCAGAUAUCAGGAGGAACACCGAUGGCGAAGGCAGAUCUCUGGGCCGUAACUGACGCUGAGGAGCGAAAGCAUGGGGAGCGAACAGGAUUAGAUACCCUGGUAGUCCAUGCCGUAAACGUUGGGAACUAGAUGUAGGGACCAUUCCACGGUUUCUGUGUCGCAGCUAACGCAUUAAGUUCCCCGCCUGGGGAGUACGGCCGCAAGGCUAAAACUCAAAGGAAUUGACGGGGGCCCGCACAAGCGGCGGAGCAUGCGGAUUAAUUCGAUGCAACGCGAAGAGCCUUACCAAGACUUGACAUAUACGAGAACGGGCUAGAAAUAGUCAACUCUUUGGAUACUCGUAAACAGGUGGUGCAUGGUUGUCGUCAGCUCGUGUCGUGAGAUGUUGGGUUAAGUCCCGCAACGAGCGCAACCCUCGUUCUAUGUUGCCAGCACGUAAUGGUGGGAACUCAUAGGAGACUGCCGUGGUCAACACGGAGGAAGGUGGGGAUGACGUCAAAUCAUCAUGCCCCUUAUGUCUUGGGCUUCACGCAUGCUACAAUGGCCGAUACAAAGGGCUGCAAUACCGUAAGGUGGAGCGAAUCCCAAAAAGUCGGUCUCAGUUCGGAUUGAGGUCUGCAACUCGACCUCAUGAAGUCGGAGUCGCUAGUAAUCGCAGAUCAGCAACGCUGCGGUGAAUACGUUCCCGGGCCU